UGGGGAAUAUUGGGCAAUGGGCGAAAGCCUGACCCAGCAACGCCGCGUGAAGGAAGAAGGUCUUCGGAUUGUAAACUUCUUUUAUAAGGGACGAAGAAAGUGACGGUACCUUAUGAAUAAGCCACGGCUAACUACGUGCCAGCAGCCGCGGUAAUACGUAGGUGGCAAGCGUUAUCCGGAUUUACUGGGUGUAAAGGGCGCGUAGGCGGGAAGGCAAGUCAGAUGUGAAAUCUAUGGGCUUAACCCAUAAACUGCAUUUGAAACUGUCUUUCUUGAGUGCUGGAGAGGUAGAUGGAAUUCCUUGUGUAGCGGUGAAAUGCGUAGAUAUAAGGAAGAACACCAGUGGCGAAGGCGAUCUACUGGACAGUAACUGACGCUGAGUCGCGAAAGCGUGGGGAGCAAACAGGAUUAGAUACCCUGGUA
rnacentral:rRNA from 1 species